rnacentral:rRNA from 1 species
CGGGUGAGUAAUGUCUGGGAAACUGCCUGAUGGAGGGGGAUAACUACUGGAAACGGUGGCUAAUACCGCAUAACGUCGCAAGACCAAAGAGGGGGACCUUCGGGCCUCUUGCCAUCAGAUGUGCCCAGAUGGGAUUAGCUAGUUGGUGAGGUAACGGCUCACCAAGGCGACGAUCCCUAGCUGGUCUGAGAGGAUGACCAGCCACACUGGAACUGAGACACGGUCCAGACUCCUACGGGAGGCAGCAGUGGGGAAUAUUGCACAAUGGGCGCAAGCCUGAUGCAGCCAUGCCGCGUGUAUGAAGAAGGCCUUCGGGUUGUAAAGUACUUUCAGCGGGGAGGAAGGUGUUGUGGUUAAUAACCGCAG